CAGCAGCCGCGGGAAUACGUAGGGUGCAAGCGUUAAUCGGAAUUACUGGGCGUAAAGCGUGCGCAGGCGGUUUGUUAAGACAGAUGUGAAAUCCCCGGGCUCAACCUGGGAACUGCAUUUGUGACUGGCAGGCUAGAGUAUGGCAGAGGGGGGUGGAAUUCCGCGUGUAGCAGUGAAGUGCGUAGAUAUGCGGAGGAACACCGAUGGCGAAGGCAGCCCCCUGGGCCAAUACUGACGCUCAUGCACGAAAGCGUGGGGAGCAAACAGGAUUAGAUACCCGGGUAGUCCCUGUCUCUUAUAC
rnacentral:rRNA from 1 species